rnacentral:rRNA from 1 species
GAUGAACGCUAGCGGCAGGCCUAAUACAUGCAAGUCGAACGGUGUCUUCGGACAUAGUGGCGCACGGGUGCGUAACACGUAUGCAACCUACCUUACAUUGGGGGAUAGCCUUUCGAAAGGGAGAUUAAUACCGCAUAAGACAGUAGCUGGGCAUCCAGCAGCUGUUAAAGAUUUAUCGAUGUAAGCUGGGCAUGCGUCCAAUUAGCUAGUUGGUGAGGUAACGGCUCACCAAGGCAAUGAUUGGUAGGGGAACUGAGAGGUCAAUCCCCCACCCUGGCAGUGAGAUACGGGCCAGACUCCGACGGGAGGCAGCAGUAGGGAAUAUUGGGCAAUGGACGCAAGUCUGACCCAGCCAUGCCGCGUGCAGGAUGAAGGCGUUAUGCGUUGUAAACUGCUUUUAUACAGGAAGAAACGACUCUUGCGAGAGGCAUUGACGGUACUGUAUGAAUAAGCACCGGCUAACUCCGUGCCAGCCGCCGCCGUAA